CCUGCAAGGGACACCACCCAGCAGGGGUUCAGGGCAGCCUGUCCUUCCAGCUUCUCCUCCACUUCCUCUCCCUCCUCCUCUACCAGCUCGUCCAGCCCCAAGACCCACUUGCUCCUUAGCCCAUCUCUCCCAUCCCUUGGCUCAACUUUUUACAAGUUCUUGUUAACUUGCUUUUUCACUCACUUGUCUAGACUCAGGGGCACAGUGGGACCUCUGGAAGACAUCAGACUGUGACUUGGAAGACAUCAGACUGUGCUGGUUGUGUAGCCCUGGGCAGGUCAUGUACUCUCUCUGAGCUUUGGUUUCCCCAUCAGUGAGGAUGCAGCCGGGCGUAGAGGCACCUCCUGCAACCCCCAGGAACCCACCUGGCCCCAGACGAGCUCUCCCAACCCGAUGAAUAUGCACCACAUCCACUGGUCCAGCUGCAGCGGCGAGCAGCUGAAGGGCUUCCCUCCAAACUGCACGAUCACUAUCUGGAGGUCAAAGGGAGCAGAGACACAGGCCCUCAGCGGCCGGCACAGAGGGCUGGGGUGCUCACUGCCCAGCCCAGCCCAGGUGAGGGCAGGGGCCUGGCUACCUGGAUGGCGAAGGUGCCCAGCACGAUGGUGCAGAAGAUGGGAUUCCGGAAGAUGCCAUCGAAGACGUUGCGCUCGCCAUGGAUCUUUCGGGCGUUGAUCUCAUUGAAGAGCUGCAUCAUGACGAAGGUGUUGAAGAUGAUGGUGUAGUGCUCUGAGGGUGGUGAGUGCAGGGGGGCGUUCCUCCCACUGUCGAUCUGGAACAUCUUCUCGCCUGCCAAGCCGAGAGGGCAGGGGCUGGGCUGGGAGCAGCAGAGGAGGGAGGCACGGCUGGAAGCAAGGGGCAGGGUACAGCCCGCACUGCUGCCUGGUCAGUGAGGGAAGGGUCAGCAAAGCCCUUUUCCUAAGGGGCAGGGGGCAAAGACCUUGGGGAGCUGUCUUCCGCCUUUCCUGUGGAAAUCUGAGAAAGGUGGAAUGCCAGUUGCAUACUAGGUGACAUUGCUUAUAAGAAGUGACCCUAGAUUGGCAAGUGCAUCUGGACCGGGAGGACAAGAAAACCUGUGGGAAGCUGCUAUGGUUUGCCAGUGUCCCCCAAAGGCUCAAGUGAUAAAGGCUUGGUCCCUAUCCCACAGUGCUAUUGGGGUACUUUCAAGAGGUGAAGCCUAAUGUGGGGGUCUUACGGUCCCUGGGAUAUGCUAUCAAAGGGGAUUCUGAGACCCCAGCCUCUUCCUCUUCCUCUCUUACACUUCCCCUCCAUGUUGGGCAGUUUCCUCCAGCAUGUACCCCCUCACCACAGGCCUAAAAGCAACAGACUGACCAUAGACUGAAACCUCCAAAACUGUAAGCCAAAAAUAAACAUUUCCUCUUUUCAA